rnacentral:rRNA from 1 species
UGGGGAAUAUUGGACAAUGGGCGAAAGCCUGAUCCAGCCAUGCCGCGUGUGUGAAGAAGGUCUUCGGAUUGUAAAGCACUUUAAGUUGGGAGGAAGGGCAUUAACCUAAUACGUUAGUGUUUUGACGUUACCGACAGAAUAAGCACCGGCUAACUCUGUGCCAGCAGCCGCGGUAAUACAGAGGGUGCAAGCGUUAAUCGGAAUUACUGGGCGUAAAGCGCGCGUAGGUGGUGUGUUAAGGUGGAUGUGAAAUCCCCGGGCUCAACCUGGGAACUGCAUUCAAAACUGACUGACUAGAGUAUGGUAGAGGGUGGUGGAAUUUCCUGUGUAGCGGUGAAAUGCGUAGAUAUAGGAAGGAACACCAGUGGCGAAGGCGACCACCUGGACUAAUACUGACACUGAGGUGCGAAAGCGUGGGGAGCAAACA